GAAAUGCGAUAAGUAAUGUGAAUUGCAGAAUUCAGUGAAUCAUCGAAUCUUUGAACGCACAUUGCGCCCGUUAGCAUUCUAGCGGGCAUGCCUGUCCGAGCGUCAUUUCAACCCUCAGGGCCCCCCGUUCCGGCGGGCGGACCUGGCGUUGGGGACCGGCCCGCCCCGUGCGGCGCCGUCCCCCAAAUACAGUGGCGGUCCCGCCGCAGCCUCCCCUGCGUAGUAGUUUACAACCUCGCAUCGGAGCGCGGCGCGGCCACGCCGUAAAACCCCCGACUUUCUGAACGUUGACCUCGGAUCAGGUAGGAAUACCCGCUGAACUUAAGC
rnacentral:misc_RNA from 1 species